UUGAGUGUGUGUUCUGGUCGAUGUCUUCCACAGGAGCAAAGGAGUUCCUUUGUUCAACCCUAACUUGCCUAAAUCCAAGAAAUUGAGAGGCCAAAUCAGUCCCAAAUCGAAAUCCAAGCUCGUAUUCAUGAACACCAAGUUGAAAGGAUCACAAGUUUGACGCGUAACAAGCUAGGUGGAAGCUUGGAGUGAAAGCGGGUCAAACAAGUCAAGCAUGGAAGAAAAGCGUAGCUCGGAUGCAAGGUAAGUGAA
rnacentral:lncRNA from 1 species